UACAGAGGGGGCAAGCGUUGUUCGGAAUUACUGGGCGUAAAGGGCGCGUAGGUGGCCUUCUAAGUUGAACGUGAAAUCCCUGGGCUCAACCCAGGAACUGCGUCCAAGACUGGGAGGCUUGAAUCCGGGAGAGGGAUGCGGAAUUCCAGGUGUAGCGGUGAAAUGCGUAGAUAUCGUUUGGAAUGCCAAUGGUGAAAACAGGUCGCUGGGGAUGAGCUGACGCUGAGACACGAAAGCCAGGGGAGCAAACGGG
rnacentral:rRNA from 1 species